CUGGCGGCGUGCCUAACACAUGCAAGUCGAGCGAGGAGAUUCCUUCGGGAUGAUCCUAGCGGCGGACGGGUGAGUAACACGUGGGCAACCUGCCUCAUAGAGAGGAAUAGCCUUCCGAAAGGGAGAUUAAUACCUCAUAACAUUGCAGUUUCGCAUGGAACAGCAAUUAAAGGAGCAAUCCGCUAUGAGAUGGGCCCGCGGCGCAUUAGCUAGUUGGUGAGGUAACGGCUCACCAAGGCGACGACGCGUAGCCGACCUGAGAGGGUGAUCGGCCACAUUGGGACUGAGACACGGCCCAGACUCCUACGGGAGGCAGCAGUGGGGAAUAUUGCACAAUGGGGGAAACCCUGAUGCAAGCAACGCCGCGUGAGUGAUGACGGCCUUCGGGUUGUAAAGCUCUGUCUUCAGGGACGAUAAUGACGGUACCUGAGGAGGAAGCCACGGCUAACUACGUGCCAGCCGCUGC
rnacentral:rRNA from 1 species